rnacentral:rRNA from 1 species
GAUGAACGCUGGCGGCGUGCUUAACACAUGCAAGUCGAACGGUGAAAGAGGAGCUUGCUCCUCUGGAUCAGUGGCGAACGGGUGAGUAACACGUGAGAAAUCUGCCCUGGACUCUGGGAUAAGCGUUGGAAACGACGUCUAAUACCGGAUACGAGACGCGAAGGCAUCUUCAGCGUCUGGAAAGAACUUCGGUCCAGGAUGAUCUCGCGGCCUAUCAGCUAGUUGGUGAGGUAACGGCUCACCAAGGCGACGACGGGUAGCCGGCCUGAGAGGGUGACCGGCCACACUGGGACUGAGACACGGCCCAGACUCCUACGGGAGGCAGCAGUGGGGAAUAUUGCACAAUGGGCGCAAGCCUGAUGCAGCAACGCCGCGUGAGGGACGACGGCCUUCGGGUUGUAAACCUCUUUUAGUAGGGAAGAAGCGAAAGUGACGGUACCUGCAGAAAAAGCACCGGCUAACUACGUGCCAGCAGCCGCGGUGAUACGUAGGGUGCAAGCGUUAUCCGGAAUUAUUGGGCGUAAAGAGCUCGUAGGCGGUUUGUCGCGUCUGCUGUGAAAACCGGAGGCUCAACCUCCGGCCUGCAGUGGGUACGGGCAAACUAGAGUGCGGUAGGGGAGAUUGGAAUUCCUGGUGUAGCGGUGGAAUGCGCAGAUAUCAGGAGGAACACCGAUGGCGAAGGCAGAUCUCUGGGCCGUAACUGACGCUGAGGAGCGAAAGCGUGGGGAGCGAACAGGAUUAGAUACCCUGGUAGUCCACGCCGUAAACGUUGGGAACUAGAUGUGGGGGCCAUUCCACGGCU